AGUGAACGCUGGCGGUAGGCCUAACACAUGCAAGUCGAACGGCAGCACAGUAAGAGCUUGCUCUUACGGGUGGCGAGUGGCGGACGGGUGAGGAAUACAUCGGAAUCUACUUUUUCGGGGGGGAUAACGGAGGGAAACUUACGCUAAUACCGCAUACGACCUACGGGUGAAAGCAGGGGAUCUUCGGACCUUGCGCGAGUGAAUGAGCCGAUGUCGGAUUAGCUAGUUGGCGGGGUAAAGGCCCACCAAGGCGACGAUCCGUAGCUGGUCUGAGAGGAUGGUGACCCACACUGGAACUGAGACACGGUCCAGACUACUACGAGAGGCAGCAGUGGCGAAUCUUGGACAAUGGGCGCAAGCCUGAUCCAGCCAUACCGCGUGGGUGAAGAAGGCCUUCGGGUUGUAAAGCCCUUUUGUUGGGAAAGAAAAGCAGCAGGUUAAAUACCCGCUGUUCUGACGGUACCCAAAGAAUAAGCCACGGCUAACUUCGUG
rnacentral:rRNA from 1 species